AGCAUCUGUGGUGGAAGAAAUUUAUUUCCUGUCCCCUUGGUUGACAGACUUCCAGUCACAGCUGCCAGCAACAACUGAAGUGUUAUGGUGCUUUCAGAUUUCAGUAUCAGGGAGAGUCUACCUGAGACUGCACAUUUCUACAAAAGGGCAGUUGCUGUACUAGGCUGUGUCUCAGUGAAGUACCUAAAACAGCUUCCUUAAGACAAUGGAAAUGUCACAGAUCACACUGGGCAGAAUUCAAAUUGAGGUCUCUGGGAUGCCACAAGCGACAUUUAAACUUUGAUCAUCAGCUUGUCCAACUUCUAUUAUUCUUGAUUUCAUACUGGGUGAAAGGAAAGUAGUCCGAGCAAAAAGUACUUUGUGCAAAAUAUUUGAUAAAAUCCC